CGGCUCCGACGCGCACGCGCACCCCAGGCCCCUCCCGUGCCCACCCGGCACACGCCCACCCGUUUCUCGAACUGCCCUGCCCUCCCAGCAGUCCCCAGCUGGUCGCCUCCGAACGUGCGCACGCGCGGCGCUCACCCCGUUCUGCUCCCGCCCCUUGGCCCCCUGGGUGCCUCCGCGGGAACCCCUGGCCCGCCUGCGCGCGCGCCUUGUCCUGGGGCCUCCCGCCCCCUUUCCCCCGCCGCCCAAUCAGAUCGGGCGAGGGGCGCGGAGCCCCGGCAACGCGCUGGCGGCAGCGGCCCUCACCGUUCAAGCACUCUCCCGGCGGCUUCGCGAAGCUUUCGUUACGCCGCGAGUAACGGUACCUGUUGGCCAUCGGUAAGCUGUUUUGGGAAAAAUAGCUCUUCAGAUUCUCUGCCCAUUUAAAAAACCAGAUUGUGCCUUUCUGCCCGUGGGCACUACCAAGUCAGCAUUGUGAAAGUCUCCCCUCCCACCACCGUCAUGUCUAAGUCAGAGUCUCCCAUAGACCCUGAAUAGCUGCGGAAUCUCUUCAUCGAGGUUUGAGCUCUGAAACAACCGAUCAGAGUCUGAAUAGCUGUGAUGAGCCAUGGGAACACUUAUGGACUGUGUGGUAACGAGAGGUCCAGACACCAAGCGCUCCAGAGGCUUUGGGUUUGUCACGUACGUCACUGUGGGGGAGGUGGAUGCCGCCAUGAAUGCAGGGCCGCGCAAGGCGGAUGGAAGAGCUGUGGAACCAAAGAGGGCUGUCUCAAGAGAAGAUUCUCAAAGACCUGGUGCCCCCUUAACUGUGAAAAAGAUUUCUGUCGGUGGCAUUAAAGAAGACACUGAGAACAUCAUCUAAGAGAGUAUUUUGAAUAGUAUGAGAAAAUUAAAAUGCUUGAAAUCAUGACUGACCGAGGCGUGGCAACAAGAGAGGCUUUGCUUUUGUAACAUUUGAUGACCAUAACUCUGCAGACAAGAUUGUCAUUCAAAAAUCCCACACUGCGAAUGGCCACAACUGUGAAGUAAGGAGAGCCCUAUCUAAGCAAGAGAUGGCGGCGAGUGCUUCAUCCAGCCGAAGAAAUCAAAGUAGUUCUGGAAACUUUGGUGGUAGCCGUGGAGGUGGUUUUGGUGAGAAUGACUCCUUUAGUCGUGGAGGAAACUUAGUGGGCAAGGGGGCUUUGGUGGCAGUGGAGGUGGUGGUGGAUAUAGUGGCAGCGAGAUGGCUAUAAUGGAUUUGGUAAUAUUGGAAGCAACGCUGGAGGUGGCGGGAUAUAAUUAUUUUGCCAGUUACAACAGUCAGUCUUCAAAUUUUGGACCCAUUAAAGGAGGACAUUUUGGAGGCAGGAGCUCUGGCCCCUUUGGUGUUAGAGGCCAGUACUUUGCCAAACCAUGAGGCCAAGGUGGCUGCAGUGGUUCCAGCAGCAGCAGUAGCGAUGGCUGAGGCAGGAGGUUUUCAAUACUUCCAGGAAACAAAGCUUAGCUGGAGAGGAGAGCCAGAGAAGUGAUAGGGAAACUACAGGUUACAACAUAUUCGUAACUCAACAGAUUUGUGAACUCAAGCACAGUGGGGGCAGGGCCUAGCUGCUACAAAGAAGACAUGUUUUAGACAAUAUCGUGUGUAUGGGCAAAAAACUCAAAGUCUUUGUGACUAAUUGUAUAACAAGUUAUUUUAGUUUCUGUUCUAUGGAAAGUUUAAAGCAUUCCAACAACGGGUUUUAACGUAGGUAUUUUUUUGCACCCAUGCUGUUGAUUGCUAAAUGUAAUAGUCUGAUCAUGAUGCUGAUACAGAAAUGUGUCUUUAAAAAAAAUAAAAAACAAAAAAUAAAAAAUAUAUUGUUUUUC